GACGAGGUGGCCGAGUGGUUAAGGCGAUGGACUGCUAAUCCAUUGUGCUCUGCCCACGUGGGUUCGAAUCCAUCCUCGUCG
rnacentral:tRNA from 1 species